rnacentral:rRNA from 1 species
GAUGAACGCUAGCGGGAGGCUUAACACAUGCAAGUCGAGGGGCAUCACGAGGUAGCAAUACUUUGGUGGCGACCGGCGCACGGGUGAGUAACACGUAUGCAACCUUCCCUGUACAGGGGGAUAACCCGGAGAAAUUCGGACUAAUACCCCAUGAUGAUAUUAUGGGGCAUCCUUUAAUAUUUAAAGCUCUGGCGGUACAGGAUGGGCAUGCGCGACAUUAGCUAGUUGGUAAGGUAACGGCUUACCAAGGCGACGAUGUUUAGGGGACCUGAGAGGGUUGUCCCCCACACUGGUACUGAGACACGGACCAGACUCCUACGGGAGGCAGCAGUGAGGAAUAUUGGUCAAUGGGCGCAAGCCUGAACCAGCCAUCCCGCGUGAAGGAAGAAUGCGCUACGCGUUGUAAACCUUCUUUUCCAGGGACGAAACACUUCGACGUGUCGGAGUUUGACUGUACCCUGUGAAUAAGCAUCGGCUAACUCCGUGCCAGCAGCCGCGGUAAGCACG